rnacentral:lncRNA from 1 species
AUCCAUAACGAAUGGAGCAUAGAGUAAUUGGAACAUAUCAAUGGCAGAUAGGGCAUUUCAGAACAUAUCAGUUCAUAGCAAAUGGAGCACAGAGUAAUUGGAACAUAACAAUGGUAGAUAGGACAUUUCAGAACAUAUCAGUUCAUAGCAAAUGGAGCACAGAGUAAUUGGAGCAUAUCAAUGGCGUAUGAAAUGUUCCGGAGCAUAUCAACGGCAUAUGGAACAUUUCGAAGCAAAAAUCAUCAGUGAAUGAAGCAUUUCAGAGCAUAUCAGAAACAAAUAUCGUAUAAAGCUCAAACGUCGUCCUUGACGUUGCAAUAAUAUCAUACUUAUCCAGAGCAUGAACAGAAACAACUCACCAAAACUCUGGAUGUCAUAUCAAACAUAUAGAAGGUGUAGUGGGAUCUCAGUCAGAAUGUGAUUCAUCCAGAAUAUCCCACAUAGCGGGACCCCACAUAGCGGGCAAUAAGCGCAUACCCUUUAACAUUUCUAGCAAAGGUCCAGAAUAUCCCACAUAGCGGGACCCCACAUAGCGGGCAAUAAGCGCAUACCCUUUACCAUUUCUGGCAAAGGUCCAGACAAUCCCACACACCAGAGUACAAGAGGGUAGUUUUNN